AAAAGCUUUCUUUAAUUAAAUAAUUGAAUUUAAUUUUUUAGUGCAAAAGCAAAAAUAAAAAUUAGGGACAAGAAGACCCUAUGAAUUUUUUAUUAAAUUUUAUAUAAAGUUUUAUAAAAUUUAAUUUAAUUGGGGUGAUGGAAAAAGAAUAAAUAUCUUUUUUUUUAAAGAAAAUUGGUUCCGUUUUUAGCGAUUAAAUGAAAAAAAUACUCUAGGGAUAACAGCGUAAUAAUUUUGGAUAGUUCAUAUAGAUAAAAUAGUUUGCGACCUCGAUGUUGGAUUAGGAUUCUUUUUUGGUGAAGAAGUUAAAAAAAGAAGUUUGUUCAACUUAUAAUUUCCUACUUGAUCUGAGUUCAGACCGG
rnacentral:rRNA from 2 species